UCAAGCGAACAAGAGCGCAAGGGGAAUGCCUUGGCAUCAGGAGCCGAUGAAGGACGUGAUAAGCUGCGAAAAGCUUCGGGGAGCUGCAAAUAAGCAUUGAUCCGGAGAUGUCCGAAUGGGGAAACCCACCUGAGGAAACCUCAGGUAACGCAUGGUGAAUCAAAUAGCCAUGCGUGGGGAACCGCCUGAACUGAAACAUCUAAGUAGGGCGAGGAAAAGUAAUCAACCGAGAUUCCGAAAGUAGUGGCGAGCGAAAUCGGAAGAGGCCAAACCGUACGUAGCAAUAUGUGCGGGGUUGUGGACGGCAAUGUCGGUAAGCUUCGUUAGACGAAUGGUCUGGGAAGGCCAGUCAAAGAGUGUGAGAGCCACGUAGUCGAAAAUGAAGUGAACGUAGCCGGAUCCAGAGUACCGCGGGGCACGAGGAAUCCCGUGGGAAGCCGGGGGGACCACCCUCCAAGCCAAAAUACUACCUGAUGACCGAUAGAGGAGCAGUACCGUGAGGGAAAGGUGAAAAGCACCCCGGGAGGGGAGUGAAACAGUACCUGAAACCUUGUGCUUACAAGCAGACAUAGCCCGUUAAAGGGUGGUGUCGUACUUUUUGUAGAACGGUCCGGCGAGUUAUAGUAACUGGCGAGCUUAAGGUAUUCAGUACCGGAGGCGAAGGGAAACCGAGUGUGAAGAGCGCGUGAAGUCAGUUGCCAUAGACCCGAAACCAGGUGACCUAGCCAUGUCCAGGAUGAAGUGGAGGUAAAGCUCCAUGGAGGUCCGAACCCACGUACGUUGCAAUGUCCGGGGAUGAGGUGUGGCUAGCGGUGAAAUUCCAAACGAACUUGGAGAUAGCUGGUUCUCCCCGAAAUAGCUUUAGGGCUAGCGUAGGUAAUGAGUUUCACGGAGGUAAAGCACUGUCUGAGCUAGGGGGCGAUAAGCUUACUGAACUCUAACAAACUAAGAAUGCCGUAGAAAUGCUUACCUGCAGUCAGACUGCGAGUAAUAAAAUCCGUGGUCAAAAGGGAAACAGCCCAGACCCACAGCUAAGGUCCCAAAUAUACGCUAAGUGGAAAACGAUGUGAGAUUGCAUAAACAACCAGGAUGUUGGCUUAGAGGCAGCCACUCGUUCAAAGAGUGCGUAAUAGCUCACUGGUCGAGUGAUCUUGCGCGGAAAAUUUAACGGGGCUAAGCGUAUAACCGAAGCUUGGGAAUGUCGAAAGACAUUGGUAGGGGAGCGUCGUGUAUGGGGUGAAGUCGCAUCGGAAGGAGCGGUGGACUGUACACGAGUGAGAAUGCCGGAAUGAGUAGCGAGAAUUAUGUGGGAAUCAUAAUGGCCGAAAAUCUAAGGUUUCCUGGGGAAGGUUCGUCCGCCCAGGGUAAGCCGGGAGCUAAGGCGAGGCCGCGAGGCGUAGUCGAUGCACAUACGGUAGAAAUUCCGUAGCCACCUCACACUAGAAAGCUGACACAUGGAGAUAGUCGAACCCGGCCGUUGGUUGCGCCGGGCGAAAGGGACCGAACUUAUAGUAGGGAAGUCGAUGAUGCUCUGUGGCGAGAAAAGGCGAAGUGAGGUGCCCGUACCGCAAACCGACACAGGUAGAUGAGGAGAGAAUCCUAAGGCCAACGGGAGAAGGGUUGUUAAGGAACUCGGCAAAUUGGUCCCGUAACUUCGGGAGAAGGGACGCCCUCGAAAGAGGGUCGCAGUGAAUAGGCCCAAGCAACUGUUUACCAAAAACACAGGUCUCUGCUAAAUCGAAAGAUGACGUAUAGGGGCUGACGCCUGCCCGGUGCCGGAAGGUUAAGAGGAGGGCUUAGUGGCAACACGAAGGCUUGAAUUUAAGCCCCGGUAAACGGCGGCCGUAACUAUAACGGUCCUAAGGUAGCGAAAUUCCUUGUCAGGUAAGUUCUGACCCGCACGAAAGGCGUAAUGAUUUGGGCACUGUCUCAACAGCCCGCCCGGCGAAAUUGUAGUACCGGUGAAGAUGCCGGUUACCCGCAACUAGACGGAAAGACCCCAUGGAGCUUUACUGCAGCUUAAUACUGAGAUUCGGUAAAUCAUGUACAGGAUAGGUGGGAGACUUGGAAACACGGCCGUCAGGUCGUGCGGAGUCAUCCUUGGGAUACCACCCUUGGUUUGCUGG
rnacentral:rRNA from 1 species